rnacentral:rRNA from 1 species
GACGAACGCUGGCGGCGUGCUUAACACAUGCAAGUCGAACGGAAAGGCCCUGCUUUUGUGGGGUGCUCGAGUGGCGAACGGGUGAGUAACACGUGAGUAACCUGCCCUUGACUUUGGGAUAACUUCAGGAAACUGGGGCUAAUACAGGAUAGGAGCUCCUGCUGCAUGGUGGGGGUUGGAAAGUUUCGGCGGUUGGGGAUGGACUCGCGGCUUAUCAGCUUGUUGGUGGGGUAGUGGCUUACCAAGGCGUUGACGGGUAGCCGGCCUGAGAGGGUGAUCGGCCACAUUGGGACUGAGGUACGGGCCAGACUCCUACGGGAGGCAGCAGUGGGGGAUAUUGCACAAUGGGCGGAAGCCUGAUGCAGCAACGCCGCGUGCGGGAUGACGGCCUUCGGGUUGUAAACCGCUUUCGCCUGUGACGAAGCGUGAGUGACGGUAAUGGGUAAAGAAGCACCGGCUAACUACGUG